CCUACGGGGGGCAGCAGUGAGGAAUAUUGGUCAAUGGGAGGAAUCCUGAACCAGCCAAGUCGCGUGCAGGACGACGGCUCUACGAGUUGUAAACUGCUUUUGUACCGGGGUAAAAUGCCUUACGUGUAGGGCUUUGAAAGUACGGUACGAAUAAGGAUCGGCUAACUCCGUGCCAGCAGCCGCGGUAAUACGGAGGAUCCGAGCGUUAUCCGGAUUCAUUGGGUUUAAAGGGUGCGUAGGUGGUUUUAUAAGUUAGCGGUGAAAUACCGAUGCGCAACAUCGGGGCUGCCGCUAAUACUGUAGGACUAGAGAUCGCAUGAAGCAGGCGGAAUGUGUAGUGUAGCGGUGAAAUGCAUAGAUAUUACGCAGAACACCGAUUGCGAAGGCAGCUUGCUGGGCCGGAUCUGACACUGAUGCACGAAAGCGUGGGUAUCGAACAGGAUUAGAUACCCUUGUAGUC
rnacentral:rRNA from 1 species